ACCGAAGUGGUGGAAUGGUAGACAUAGAGGAUUCAAAAUCCGUAGCUUAAUAGGCGUAAGAGUUCGAGUCUCUUCUUCGGUU
rnacentral:tRNA from 1 species